AGUGAACGCUGGCGGUAGGCCUAACACAUGCAAGUCGAACGGCAGCACAGUAAGAGCUUGCUCUUACGGGUGGCGAGUGGCGGACGGGUGAGGAAUACAUCGGAAUCUACUUUUUCGUGGGGGAUAACGUAGGGAAACUUACGCUAAUACCGCAUACGACCUACGGGUGAAAGCAGGGGAUCUUCGGACCUUGCGCGAUUGAAUGAGCCGGUGUCGGAUUAGCUAGUUGGCGGGGUAAAGGCCCACCACGGCGACGACCCGUAGCGGUUCUGGGAGGAUGGCAGCCAAACGUGGACUUAAGCACGGUCCAAACUCCCACGGGAGGCAGGAGGGGGGAAAUUUUGACCAUUGGGCGAAACCUUAUCCCGCCAUACCGCGUGGGGUAAGAAGGGCGUCGGGUUGUAAAGCCCUUUUGUUGGGAAAGAAAAGCAGCAGGUUAAUACCCCGCUGUUCUGACGGUACCCAAAGAAUAAGCACCGGCUAACUUCGUG
rnacentral:rRNA from 1 species